CAUCCAGAACCUAUUUUGCUCAAUUUUUCGUGUGAAAUCCGAUUCCGGAGUUAGUUUUCUGAGAUAAUGCAUGCUUAAUAUAAUUUGCUUAUAUUAUUAGCAUUGUGUUGAAAAGGCAAUAAUGGGUCUGGGCGUUACAGGUAGCGGAUGAGUAAAAAUGGGGCGCACGAGAUUUUUUUAUCCUAUAUAGUAUAUGUAUAAUAAAAG
rnacentral:lncRNA from 1 species